rnacentral:rRNA from 1 species
CUUAGCUACCAGGUCAUCGGGUGCAUUAGCAGGGUCUAUAUAUACAUACUGCAGCCUAACUAGCUAGUUCUUCUUUCCCCUGUCUGAACCAAGGCUUGCAAAUGCCGGAUCCAGUUACUGCCAGUGCUGCUGUAGGAUGGGGCGUAUCCGCAGCAGGCUGGCUCAUCUCGCCUAUCAUUUCAAGGGUACUCAACAAAGGUUUCGCCCACCUCGACUUCGAUGCAGCGGAGAAGCUGAAGAUGCUUGAUGUACAAGUUCUACAACUGCAGCGCCUGAUGGAAGUAGCCGACGAGAGCACUUACAAGGUUCGGUUGGAGCCACUGUUAGACGAGUGUGGUUUUCUGUAGCUCAGGCUACACGGUACCCCUUAUCUUUGCCAUCCAUUUAUGCAUCAAGAUCCGUGCAGACACAUUUGUCUUUUUUGUUUCUCUCAAACGACACAACAUAUGAACUUUAACUUUUGCAGAACAACAAUACAUUCUAACUACAAUCUAGGAAAAAAACUUUCAGAUUUUUUCAUGCAUUUUAAAUACUUGAAAUAAUAUUUUUAUUCAAAGAAAAUCUCAUUUCGUAUAUUUAUAUCAGACCAAAAAAUCUGAAAGUUUUUUCACACAUUGAUGUUCUAAUGUUUGUUCGAUCUGCAAAGUUUGAAGUUCAUAUGUUGUUUCGUUUUCGAGAAACAAAAAAGAGAAAUCUUCUUGUUGUUAGUUAGUUGGAGAGUACGGAUCUCAAAGCAAGGUUGGAGGGUUGAGGAUAAGAGGUUCCAUGUAGCCUGAGCUACAAAGAAACUUUGUGCUGUUAGAUAAGCUUAAAUCUGCUCUCUACGAAGGCAAAGAUAUCUUGGAUGAUAUUGAGUAUCAGCGUCUCAAGAAGCAGGUCCAAGAUGGCAAGUCAGAUGGCAGUACGAUGGAUUCGCUGAAGAAGAAUCUACGGUCUGCAAUGCCGAGCUGCCUCCUAAAAGAUAAGAAGAGUGGCAAGACAAAAGUGGAAUUGAAGAAGAGCCUAGAGAGUAUAGAAAGUGCUAUAAGUGAUGCAUGUAACCUUUUGAAACAACUGAAGUUGACAGCUCUAAGUAGUGAUAAUGGGAGACCAGUUGUUGCUGCCAAUUCACAUCAUGCAGUCACUACUGGAGGUCCUCCGCCACGAGUAAUUGGCACUAGUAGAAAAAGGGUCAUACGUGAAGCCCAAUAGUGCCGGUUUGUAUUAGAGCCGGCACUAAUGUGUACAAUAGCACCGGUUCGUGGCGGCGAUCAAUAGCACCGGUUCGUGGCGAACCUUUAGUACCGGUUCAUAUGCCACGAACCGGUACUAAAGUGGAUGUGUCAGCCUGCGGUCAGGCUAUGGUCCCACCAUCACCAUUUAGUGCCGGUUCGUGGUACGAACCGGUACUAAUGAGGUUAUAGCAAGCUGUUUUUAGUCCCACCUCGCUCCACUAACAAG